GAGUUUGAUCUUGGCUCAGAUUGAACGCUGGCGGCAUGCCUUACACAUGCAAGUCGAACGGUAACAGGUCUUCGGAUGCUGACGAGUGGCGAACGGGUGAGUAAUACAUCGGAACGUGCCCGAUCGUGGGGGGAUAACGAAGCGAAAGCUUUGCUAAUACCGCAUACGAUCUACGGAUGAAAGCAGGGGACCGCAAGGCCUUGCGCGAACGGAGCGGCCGAUGGCAGAUUAGGUAGUUGGUGGGAUAAAAGCUUACCAAGCCGACGAUCUGUAGCUGGUCUGAGAGGACGACCAGCCACACUGGGACUGAGGCACGGCCCAGACUCCUACGGGAGGCAGCAGUGGGGAAUUUUGGACAAUGGGCGAAAGCCUGAUCCAGCCAUGCCGCGUGCAGGAUGAAGGCCUCGGUUGU
rnacentral:rRNA from 1 species